GAUUCAAGUGUCUGUUACUCGUAUUACAUUCCUUGGAUUCCUGGGUCUCUACUUCCUUGUCAAAGAAGGGUCAGACAAGAUCGAUUUCACUUUGGAUGCGAAGGAGUAUAUGCAUGGACAAAGAUGUUUUGGCUUUUGAUAUGUAUUUUACUGAGCUUUGGCACCGUAACAAUCGAAGGGUGUCAUAGUGAUCUAAAAGGAGAAAGUGGGAAGUUCUCAAUUGAGAAAACUCAUUCAAGCUCAAACUGUUCGUGGACAAUUGGCAAAGGUUUAAAUAAUAUCGACUUCAUAGUCAUUGAAUUCACGCCGUUUGACCUGGGAUGGUAUUGCAUGUGAGUGACAUUUUGAUAAGUAUAACGUUACGUCUGUAUCACUGGAAGAAAAUUGCGACACCAAUUGGGACUCUGCACUCGGCUAAUGUAUUUCGAUAGCUUGAAAGGUCUGAAAGGUAUACAACGCAUGUUUCACCAGCAAAAGACUGCCUGCACUGAAUAAAAUUAUCGAUCUAAACAAGCAAUGUUCAUGAUGGAACACCUUAAUAGUGCCAAAAAAAAAAAAAAGAAA